UUGACCAGGGGCUUGCUAUUGCUUGGGCUCUGGAGAGACUUAGGGAGGACAGAGAGACGAACGGGGAGGGAUAAGGAGGAUUUUGACCCGAGAGUACGUGUGGACGAGAUGGAAGAUGAGGAAGAGUCAGAUGGAGUUUAAUGAACUGGUGUCUGUGGAGAACAGAAUGGUUUCUGCUCCGAUGCCUAAGGAUCCAAAGCAACAAGGUCUAGCCUUCCAGCCUCAUACCAUAAACAACCAAGUUCCUGGUUUCAACAAGUGGAUGACUGACUUUGGAGAUCGCAGUAAGAAACAUGGGCAGUGAGGUGACUUAGCCAACGAGGAUGCUGGCCCAAGGCUGAUUGAUGACUGGGCUCCAUCCCUAGAACCGUUGUGGUCAUAGGAGCGACUCCUACAUCCUCUGACCUCUGCACACAUGCACACACACACUAAAUAAAUAAAUGCAAUAACGUUUUAAGAGAAAAACAACA